ACGGGAGGCAGCAGUGGGGAAUAUUGGGCAAUGGAGGCAACUCUGACCCAGCAACGCCGCGUGAGUGAUGAAGGUCUUCGGAUUGUAAAACUCUUUUAUUAGGGAAGAAGAAAGUGACGGUACCUAAUGAAUAAGCCUCGGCUAACUCCGUGCCAGCAGCCGCGGUAAUACGGAGGAGGCAAGCGUUAUCCGGAAUGACUGGGCGUAAAGGGUGCGUAGGUGGUUUGGCAAGUUGGUAGCGUAAUCCCGGGGCUCAACCUCGGAACUACUACCAAAACUGUCGGACUUGAGUGCAGGAGGGGCAACUGGAAUUCCUAGUGUAGCGGUGGAAUGCGUAGAUAUUAGGAAGAACACCAGAGGCGAAGGCGAGUUGCUGGACUGUAACUGACACUGAGGCACGAAAGCGUGGGGAGCAAACAGGAUUAGAUACCCUGGUA
rnacentral:rRNA from 1 species